AUUGAACGCUGGCGGCAGGCCUAACACAUGCAAGUCGAGCGAGCGGCGGACGGGUGCGUAAUGUAUGGGGACUGCCCGAUAGAGGGGGAUAACUACUGGAAACGGUAGCUAAUACCGCAUACUAUCGGAUAACCCAUAUGGGAUUAGCUAGUCGGUGAGGUAAUGGCUCACCUAGGCGACGAUCCCUAGCUGGUCUGAGCGGAGGAUCAGCAACACUGGGAAGGAGACACGGCCCAGAAUCCGACGGAGGCAGCAGGGGGGAAUAUUGCACAAUGGGCGCAAGCCUGAUGCAGCCAUGCCGCGUGUAUGAAGAAGGCCCUAGGGUUGUAAAGUACUUUCAGUCGGGAGGCGUUACCGACAGAAGAAGCACCGGCUAACUCCGUGCCAGCAGCCGCGGUAAUAC
rnacentral:rRNA from 1 species